UCGAGGGGCAGCGGGGGAGUACAAUACUCCCGCCGGCGACCGGCGCACGGGUGAGUAACACGUAUGAAACCUGCCCGUAGCAGGGGGAUAAGCGGAAGAAAUUCCGUCUAAUACCGCGUAACAACCCAUGGAGGCAUCUCCGUGGGUUUAAAGGAAGCGAUUCCGGCUACGGAUGGUCAUGCGUCGCAUUAGCUAGUUGGCGGGGUAACGGCCCACCAAGGCGACGAUGCGUAGGGGUUCUGAGAGGAAGGUCCCCCACACUGGUACUGAGACACGGACCAGACUCCUACGGGAGGCAGCAGUGAGGAAUAUUGGUCAAUGGCCGCAGGGCUGAACCAGCCAAGUCGCGUGAGGGAUGACGGUCCUAUGGAUUGUAAACCUCUUUUGUCAGGGAGCAAAGGGCGCCACGUGUGGCGCUUUGCGAGUACCUGAAGAAAAAGCAUCGGCUAACUCCGUGCCAGCAGCCGCGGUAAUACGGAGGAUGCGAGCGUUAUCCGGAUUUAUUGGGUUUAAAGGGUGCGCAGGCGGAAUGUCAAGUCAGCGGUAAAAUUUCGGGGCUCAACCCCGUCGUGCCGUUGAAACUGGCGUUCUUGAGUGAGCGAGAAGUAUGCGGAAUGCGUGGUGUAGCGGUGAAAUGCAUAGAUAUCACGCAGAACUCCGAUUGCGAAGGCAGCAUACCGGCGCUCAACUGACGCUCAUGCACGAAAGCGUGGGUAU
rnacentral:rRNA from 1 species